rnacentral:lncRNA from 10 species
GGGGCGGAAAGAGCAGAGGGAGGGGCACAGGGGGCUGAGGAGUGCUGGGUCGGGCUUCCAGCUCCCUACAACGCAGACCAGUACUGGAGUUCGUGGUGCUGGAAGACCGCCGCCCGACUCUGGGCCCCGGGUAGGAAACAACAAUUUCGGACCUCCUGGGGUCUAUGCUAGGUAUGAGGUGUAUCUUUGCCCUCCAUCAAGUAGCAAAGAUGGACAUGUAAACAAAUUUCGACACUGUGAUGACUGCCACAAAAAGCAGCAUUAUGAGGUUGAAUGUAAAAGGAUAACCUUAGCGGCGGCGGGGGCCGGAGGAUGAAGGAAGGCUUCCUGAGGUAGGCGCUGGUUGAAACUGAAGUUGGAGAGAGCAAGUGGCAUUUGCUGAAGUGCAUUUCCGGUAGAAAACUCCAGUGGUCCCUCACCUGACUGAGUGGCGCAGUCAGAGAUAAAUGGAACAGGUACACUGACCAGAAAGGGCAAGAUGGGCUAAACUUCGCCGUUGGGCCACUGGGCUCCCCCGCAGGAUUUUAAAGAGCUAGCCAGUAGAUGGAUUUUGUUUUUGUUAUUUUCGCAAUUUAUUUUCAAAUAUGUAAUACGCGAACUUGGUACAACAUUCAUGUGAUAAAAAGGUAGAUACGUGGGCAGGACGCGGUGGCUCACGCCUGUAAUCCCAGCAUUUUGGGAGGCCGAGAUGGGCGGAUCAUUUGCUGUCAGGAGUUCGAGACCAGCCUGGCCAACAUGAGUCUACAAAUAAACAUUUUAUAAAGAUGAUCCUUCAAUACAUAUUCUACAGCCCAGUUAAAAUGUGAGAGGCCAUGAUCUACAGACAGCCAUUUAUAAAGGUGGAUCAGGGCCGGACACGGUGGCUCAACGUCUGUAAUCCCGGCACUGUGGGAGGCCAAAGCGGGAGGAUCGCUUGAGCCCAGGAGUUCGAGACCAACCUGGCCAACAUGCUUUAUGUGAUUGACACAGACAUGGAAGAGAUCUGGUCCUUAUGAAGAAUUCUGUGCUCGCAGGAAAGAUCUGUAGGAAUAAUGAAAUGCUUUCUUCAUUGAUGAGAUGAAGUCUCUGUUUUUCAGGCAAGUUGACAGAACAAAACAAUGAGAAACGAACUUCUUUAGAAGGUUGAAUGAAAGUAAGAUCUAGAUGAAAAAGUCAUUGGCCAAAGAUAAUUUUUUAAAAAAAACAUUCUAUGUUAACCCUUGGAAAAAAAAACAAAAAACAACCCAGAGAAAUACAAGAAAACAAUGUACACAUUCAUUUCACUGACAGUUACAAGAAAAUAGCCGUUUAUAGAAGUUACACAAUGCUUUC